UACGUAGGGUGCGAGCGUUGUCCGGAAUUAUUGGGCGUAAAGGGCUCGUAGGCGGUUUGUCGCGUCGGGAGUGAAAUCCACUGGCUUAACUGGUGGCUUGCUUUCGAUACGGGCAGACUGGAGGUAUGCAGGGGAGAACGGAAUUCCUGGUGUAGCGGUGAAUGCGCAGAUAUCAGGAGGAACACCGGUGGCGAAGGCGGUUCUCUGGGCAUGUCCUGACGCUGAGGAGCGAAAGUGUGGGGAGCGAACAGG
rnacentral:rRNA from 1 species